AGAUAAAGUAAAUGAAUUGAAGGUAAAGCAAUAAAAAUUGAUAAAAAUGUAGGAGAAAUUGUUCAUAUAAUUUCUACAUUUUGGUGAUUUAGUAUAUUUCGGGUAAUUAUUUUGUUGAAUAAUAUAUUUAAUAAAAUGAAUAAAAUUAAUUUUUUUCCUCGGAAUAAACAUACCGUGAAUUUGAUCACGUUCGUCGCAUUGAAAUGUAAGUCCAUAUACCACGAGUCAUGAUUGAUUUGGAAAAUUUCCUAGAAACUUCAACCAAAUCGGUAAACGGUCUUUUUCCGAGUAUCACGUAGAUUUGUCAACGAAAAACACAUCGGAUUGAGAAAAAACUGUUCAAAUCACCUGGUGCAGGUCACGUUUUGGCACCGAAAAAAGGUCGAUUUCAACGUCAGAAGUUCCCGUACCGCGGAACAGAACGAAAGGGCUUCCUUCCUGUCCAAGAUGUCCCUGACUCUGCUAACCACGCCGUAACGAAACCUUUGAUGAAACGAAUUUAUAGUAUAUGUAUACAUAUAC
rnacentral:misc_RNA from 1 species